AUUAACGCUGGCGGCGUGCCUCACCCCUGCCAGUCGAGCGGCAGCGAGUUUUACACUGAAUUCUGGAAGCUUCUAGUUGAAAGAGAAGAUUUAUUCAAGAAUUUUGUGUAAAAUGUCGGCGAGCGGCGGACGGCUGAGUAACGCGUGGGAACGUACCCCAAAGUGAGGGAUAACGCAUCGAAAGGUGUGCUAAUACCGCAUAUGGUCUUCGGAUUAAAGCCUUCGGGCGCUUUGGGAACGGCCUGCGUAAGAUUAGAUAGUUGGUGGGGUAAUGGCCUACCAAGUCGACGAUCUUUAACUGGUUUGAGAGGAUGAUCAGUCAGACUGGAACUGAGACACGGUCCAGACUCCUACGGGAGGCAGCAGUGAGGAAUCUUCCACAAUGGGCGAAAGCCUGAUGGAGCAACGCCGCGUGCAGGAUGAAGGCCUUCGGGUUGUAAACUGCUUUUAUAAGUGAGGAUUAUGACAGUAACUUAUGAAUAAGGAUCGGCUAACUACGU
rnacentral:rRNA from 1 species